rnacentral:rRNA from 1 species
CGCGAAGGUGCUUGCCCUUUCAGUGAGUGGCGAACGGGUGAGUACACGUGGACAACCUGCCUCAAGGCUGGGGAUAACAUUUGGAAACAGAUGCUAAUACCGAAUAAAACUUAGUGUCGCAUGACACAAAGUUAAAAGGCGCUUCGGCGUCACCUAGAGAUGGAUCCGCGGUGCAUUAGUUAGUUGGUGGGGUAAAGGCCUACCAAGACAAUGAUGCAUAGCCGAGUUGAGAGACUGAUCGGCCACAUUGGGACUGAGACACGGCCCAAACUCCUACGGGAGGCUGCAGUAGGGAAUCUUCCACAAUGGGCGAAAGCCUGAUGGAGCAACGCCGCGUGUGUGAUGAAGGCUUUCGGGUCGUAAAGCACUGUUGUAUGGGAAGAACAGCUAGAAUAGGAAAUGAUUUUAGUUUGACGGUACCAUACCAGAAAGGGACGGCUAAAUACGUGCCAGCAGCCGCGGUAAUACGUAUGUCCCGAGCGUUAUCCGGAUUUAUUGGGCGUAAAGCGAGCGCAGACGGUUUAUUAAGUCUGAUGUGAAAGCCCGGAGCUCAACUCCGGAAUGGCAUUGGAAACUGGUUAACUUGAGUGCAGUAGAGGUAAGUGGAACUCCAUGUGUAGCGGUGGAAUGCGUAGAUAUAUGGAAGAACACCAGUGGCGAAGGCGGCUUACUGGACUGCAACUGACGUUGAGGCUCGAAAGUGUGGGUAGCAAACAGGA